GCAGGACGUCCGGCUUCCAGCUCGGAACUUUGGUACUGUCAGCAACCAAACAGCGAAUUAAAUAUGGGUGAUACUGAGAAAGGCAAGAAGAUUUUUGUUCAGAAGUGUGCCCAGUGCCAUACUGUGGAAAAAAGAGGCAAGCACAAGACUGGGCCAAAUCUCCAUGGCCUCUUUGGGAGGAAGACAGGUCAGGCUGCUGGCUUCUCUUACACAGAUGCCAAUAAGAACAAAGGCAUAACCUGGGGAGAGGAUACACUGAUGGAGUAUUUGGAGAAUCCCAAGAAGUACAUCCCUGGAACAAAAAUGAUCUUCGCUGGCAUUAAGAAGAAGGGAGAAAGGGCAGACUUGAUAGCUUAUCUCAAAAAAGCUACAAAUGAGUAAUAGUUGGCCAUUGCCUUAUUUAUUACAAAAAAAU